UAUUUUUUUUUUGAUUUGUAUAAAUUUAUGUAUAUAAUUUCUUUCAGUUUUAUAUUUUUUUUACUAAUUUUACUCAUAAAAAUUAUUAUUCAUAAAAAAUUGUUUUGGCAAAUUAAUGAGUUAUUUUAGGACAUUAUAUGAUUUAUAUUUAUAUUGAUUUAAAAUGAAAGUAAAAUUUUGUGUCAUGCUACAUAUUUUGUGAAGAAAACCUUUUAUACAGGGAUAAUUUUUAUUGAAAAUCAUAAGCGCCUAAAACUCCGCUUUAGAUUUUCGACAAUUUAUUUUAAAUAGUUUUACGAACAAUUUUUCUUGUUUGUACAGUUAUUUUUUUGAACACGUGAGGUGUGUCGAAUUUGAUUAUAUUUGAAUACAAAUAUUAGUUUUUUUUCGCAUUUAAUAUAUAUAUUUUUUUUAUGCAGAAUGAUCUUUCAUAAUUUUAUAAUUUUUUUUGACUGUCGUACUCACUCGUAUCAAUUUUUUUUAUCAAAAAAAAAUGUAGUCUUUCAAUCUGGUUUUUGAGUUAGAUAAGUGAAGCUUUCUCAUUUAUUGUGAAUCCCGGGAUAAAGUGGUUUCACCAUCCACAGGUGAAGUUGGUUUGCAACAUGUGUAUAUAUAUAUAUAUAUAUAUAUAAUCCAACCUGAGGACUGCUUGUUCCUGAUAAAAAAAAAUGUCCUGGUUUUACCACAAUAUCCUUUAAGAAGGAUGAAAUAAUUCGUUUUAAGGAAUCUAUAUAUAUUUAAAGAACUUAAUACAAUUCUUACCCGAGUGUAAAAUAUUUUUAAUAACAAAAAUAUUUUAUUAACGUCAACGUUAGCUAUGACUAUUCUUGAAUUGAUUUUGAUUAAAAUCAGUAAAUAAUUUCACUGGUUCACCAUUUAUUUUACAGACUUUUUGUAUUUAUUUAACGGCUAUUUUGUACUUCGUGGUGGUUUUUAGUAUAUCACCUUCACUCUGACAGUCUAUGACUUUCUAAAUCGUAACUUCAAUGUCACUUUCAAUGAAGGUCAGAAUGCACAUGGUGGAAAUAUAGUGAUAUACUGUCAUUCGAAUAUCAACCAUGGUGGAUCUCGAUAUUUUUCAUCCUUUGUUCUGGGUUUAAUCUCCAGAUGGCGCUAAAUUACAUCACUUGCAAGAAUGUUUUCAGUAGUAAACACGUAUAUAUUUUAUGUAUACCAAAAAUAGUAUUCAAGUAGUUUACUACAUUAUAAAUUGUAUUCAAUAUUAUUUUUAAAAUUUAAUAAAAAAAUCAAAACUUGAUUCAUUCGAUAAAUUGUACAUAUUUGGUUUGAGAAUUGAUCGUACAAUUUACGAUCAGGCACAGUUUGAAGGUCACUGUUUUUUUACACCGUGGUGUAACUACGCAACAUGAAAUUGAAUCCCUUUACAACACUGGUAGACACGAACAGAUGUUUUUAUUAUUUUGUUUUGCUUUUACCUUUUCACAACUUCUUGAUGGAAACUAUAAAUUCAACCAAAUAAAUAGAAUUAAUUGUAAUUUGUUUGUGACCCAAAAUAUAUAAUCGACUGUGCGAUAAUAUUCAAAUGUGGCCAAUGCAUAAUUAUGUGUGGGUAUUCAUACCCAGCCCAAAGGUGGCUGUCACAUAUGUGUUCACAUUAUGGACACACUGGUCAAAUUUUUGUUUCCUUUCAAAUAAUUUUGUUUUCCCAAAAUCAGCUGUUUUUGUAUUUGCCGUCAAAUAAUAUUUGUUGGUCAGAUUGUGACAAAGAAAUAUUUGACAUUUUUCGUCAAAUAUUUGCCCAAUGUGACCUUACCUUAAAUAUACCAUUGAAAAAAUUAAUCGCGAAAUUAAACAAAAAAUCGCCAAAAUGGCCGAAUAAAAGCUGUAAAAAAUACAACUAAGCUUUUCCAGUGAUUGUGUUCAAUUUAUUUAUUUAUUCAAAAAAUGGAUAUUUCUGUUGCCCUAUAUGUUAUGGAUGAUGUGGAGGAGCCUGCUGCUUCCAAAUACUGGCACUCCUCUGGCGGACCCAGGACUCUUUUUCAUAUAAUCAACUAGUGCCCGCAGCUCUGUAGUAGAUGAUUUGUUCGGAAUUCUCGUUCUGUAAAUAAAUAUUAUAUUUGUUGCUGACAUAUUAUAA